rnacentral:rRNA from 1 species
AAUGACGAAAGGACUGGCGGUAUGGGAUGGGGAUGCGUCUGAUUAGCUUGUUGGCGGGGUAACGGCCCACCAAGGCGACGAUCAGUAGGGGUUCUGAGAGGAAGGUCCCCCACAUUGGAACUGAGACACGGUCCAAACUCCUACGGGAGGCAGCAGUGAGGAAUAUUGGUCAAUGGGCGCAAGCCUGAACCAGCCAAGUAGCGUGAGGGAAGACUGCCCUACGGGUUGUAAACCUCUUUUGUUUGGGAAUAAAGUGCGGGACGCGUCCCGCAUUGCAUGUACCAUUUGAAUAAGGACCGGCUAAUUCCGUGCCAGCAGCCGCGGUAAUACGGAAGGUCCGGGCGUUAUCCGGAUUUAUUGGGUUUAAAGGGAGCGCAGGCCGUGGGUUAAGCGUGUCGUGAAAUUCCGUCGCUCAACGGCGGACGUGCGGCGCGAACUGGUCCACUUGAGUACGCGGGACGUUGGCGGAAUUCGUGGUGUAGCGGUGAAAUGCUUAGAUAUCACGAAGAACUCCGAUUGCGAAGGCAGCUGACGGUAGCGCAACUGACGCUGAGGCUCGAAAGUGCGGGUAUCGAACAGGAUUAGAUACCCUGGUAGUCCGCACGGUAAACGAUGGAUGCCCGCUAUUCGCCCACCUGGGCGAGUGGCCAAGCGAAAGCGUUAAGCAUCCCACCUGGGGAGUACGCCGGCAACGGUGAAACUCAAAGGAAUUGACGGGGGCCCGCACAAGCGGAGGAACAUGUGGUUUAAUUCGAUGAUACGCGAGGAACCUUACCCGGGCUUGAAUUGCAGAGGAAGGAUUUAGAGAUAAUGACGCCCUUCGGGGCCUCUGUGAAGGUGCUGCAUGGUUGUCGUCAGCUCGUGCCGUGAGGUGUCGGCUUAAGUGCCAUAACGAGCGCAACCCCUCUCCGUAGUUGCCAUCGGGUGAUGCCGGGCACUCUGCGGACACUGCCACCGUAAGGUGUGAGGAAGGUGGGGAUGACGUCAAAUCAGCACGGCCCUUACGUCCGGGGCUACACACGUGUUACAAUGGGGCAUACAGAGCGCCGGCGGCCGGCAACGUCCGUCCAAUCGCAAAAGUGUCCCCCAGUUCGGACUGGGGUCUGCAACCCGACCCCACGAAGCUGGAUUCGCUAGUAAUCGCGCAUCAGCCAUGGCGCGGUGAAUACGUUCCCGGGCCUUGUACACACCGCCCGUCAAGCCAUGAAAGC